ACCUCUGACGAGCCCUAUGUCUCCCUUACCAAUUCUUUGACAAUGACCCUGCAGCUCCAGACUAGACUAAAAAGAGAGGGGACACAAGGGAACUUGAAAGAUGGAAGAAAAAGGUGGGUUCAGAGGUAAAAGUGCUAUUUCAAUUUAUAUUUCCAAAUAUGGAGGCUAAUUCUUGCUUUGAGUGGUUAGAGGUCUUGUAGAGUGGCUUGUUGUACAAAGCAGAUCCCCAGGACUAUGUGGCAUCUGGCUAUCUAGGGCAGGGGCAAAAUCAAGUGAGAAACAACCAAACUUUCUUCUCUCUUUCCUCUAGCCCAUGCGCCAGACAGAUAAUAAUUUUCAAUUGAUUUAUAGUCAUUCACA
rnacentral:lncRNA from 1 species